CGCUCCCCUGACUCACCUGACAGAUGGGGUUGGCCCUGAUUCUUGUGUCGCUGGGCCCAGCUGUGAAGAACUCCCAAGCCAGACCUUUGGGCACCUUCAGCUUUCAGAGCUCAUGGGUUUUAUGCCUUGGGCUUGCUUGCUGGUGUUUUUGGAGACCUGAGGUGUUGAAGUGCUUCCCACUACCAGAGAGGGCUGUCAGCUGUACAGCGACAGUGAGGGUUAUAGGAGCUAUUUCUGCACUCCUGACUCACCUAAAUUCCUGUGAAACUCAAUGGAUGUUUUGAGUGUGCAAGGACGGGACUAAAAAUUGUGUUCUACAUUCUGCUCUUCUAAAGUCUCCCCGAGUGGCAUCACUUAAAAUUAGAACUUCAAAGCAGACAAGCAGCAAAUAUGGCACAGUGAGAGCAUCAGCAGUGGACAGAAAGUCAAACAAGGCGAACAUCAGGGACUGUUACAGAAACAUACUUGCUCUACCAUGUUCAAAAAAAGAGAUUAAUAUAUAGCCCGAGAGGUGGUAUGACUGGAGCAGCAGGAAAGAAAUGAGUACUUAGCAGGAGCAACAGAAAUGAGAAAAAUGCAGUGAUUUUAAAAGAAUGUCAAAAACCAGAUUGGAUCCCCAGAAAAGAUGGCACAUCUCAUGAUCUUCUCUGAUGGAAGGACAGCACUGACCUCCCAAACACAUAGCUUUUAUCAGCUCUGCCUAAGAAAGUGGUUAAGCAACGUACUUGGAAAAUUUUCAUUCUGAUCCUACAUUUCUUCAGCACUAAGGGCUACUCAGCUCUAGAUUUUUAAUUUAAUCUGUUUUAUAAAAGCCUAAUUGCAAAAUUGUGUGGAGUUAGGCUAAGUUCUGAAUUUUCCUGUGACAUGGGAAAACUCAGCCUGGAUAUUAAAUUCUCGCUUCAUCUUCUGUCAGUACUAACGUAUAUACUUGACUGAAAAACAACCAGCUUGGACGUGUUGCCAGAAGGCACACUAUAAAUUAUAGACCCUGCUCCAAAAGUUUUUGAGUAUUAAUACUGCUGAUGCAAUUGCAUAAAAGUAUAAUUUUGGGGAAAUGUGAUCCAUCCACCCCAUCCUGUAUAUCCAAAGCCCAAAUUUUUCCAGCAGGUAAGUGAACAAGAGUGAGGUUAAAUAGAGAUGGUGUACGUUCAGCUAAAAAUAUUAAACAAACCCCCCCACCCCCAAACAGCAAGUCUCUUCCUCUUCUCUAUAAACAAAGGCAGAAACAGAAUCAAAGCUUCUUCACUUUUUUCCUAGUACCCUAUUCGUUCAGUAGAAUCAGAGAUGCAUAUUUAAUAGUUUGCCAUAGAAGUAGUGCAUUACUGACUGUUAUUAGAAUUACAAACUAGUAAUGUUGAAACUAAUUAACGGAAUAAAAGAGCUGACCCUGCUGCA